rnacentral:rRNA from 1 species
GAUACUCUGUCAAGGGUUAACUUGAAAUAUUGACUUAGCAAGAGUGUACUAAUAAGCAGUCUUUCUGAAAUAAUGUAUUAGGUUCUUCCAACUCGUUAUAUCAGCUAGGCAGGUUUAGAAGUAUUUUAGGCUCGGCUUAACAACAAUAAACUAAAAGUUUGACCUCAAAUCAGGUAGGACUACCCGCUGAACUUAAGCAUAUCAAUAAGCGGAGGAAAAGAAACCAACAGGGAUUGCCUCAGUAACGGCGAGUGAAGCGGCAAAAGCUCAAAUUUGAAAUCUAGCACCUUCGGUGUUUGAGUUGUAAUUUGAAGAUGGUAACCUUGGGUUUGGCUCUUGUCUAUGUUCCUUGGAACAGGACGUCAUAGAGGGUGAGAAUCCCGUCUGAUGAGAUGCCCAUUCCUAUGUAAGGUGCUAUCGAAGAGUCGAGUUGUUUGGGAAUGCAGCUCUAAGUGGGUGGUAAAUUCCAUCUAAAGCUAAAUAUUGGCGAGAGACCGAUAGCGAACAAGUACAGUGAUGGAAAGAUGAAAAGAACUUUGAAAAGAGAGUGAAAAAGUACGUGAAAUUGUUGAAAGGGAAGGGCAUUAGAUCAGACUUGGUGUUUUACGAUUAUCUUCUCUUCUUGAGUUGUGCACUCGUAUUUCACUGGGCCAGCAUCGAUUCGGAUGGCAAGAUAAUGGCAGUUGAAUGUGGCUUCACUUCGGUGGAGUGUUAUAGCUUCUGCUGAUAUUGCCUGUCUGGAUCGAGGG